CGACGGUGUGGCGAAGCAGGUCGCGCAGGACGUUGUGGACUACGUCGAGCUCGCCACCCUGCUGGGCGAGCCGCUGUCCGAAGUGGCAUCGCCGA
rnacentral:tRNA from 1 species